CUACGGGUCGCACCAGUGGGGAAUCUUGCGCAAUGGGCGAAAGCCUGACGCAGCCAUGCCGCGUGAAUGAUGAAGGUCUUAGGAUUGUAAAGUUCUUUCGCCCGUGACGAUGAUGACGGUAACGGGAGAAGAAGCCCCGGCUAACUUCGUGCCAGCAGCCGCGGUAAUACGAAGGGGGCUAGCGUUGUUCGGAAUUACUGGGCGUAAAGGGCGCGUAGGCGGUUUUGCAAGCCAGAGGUGAAAUGCCUGAGCUCAACUUAGGAAUUGCCUUUGGGACUGUGAGACUUCGAGGACUGGAGAGGUGAGUGGAAUUCCCAGUGUAGAGGUGAAAUUCGUAGAUAUUGGGAAGAACACCGGUGGCGAAGGCGGCUCACUGGCCAGUUUCUGACGCUGUAGCGCGAAAGCGUGGGGAUCAAACAGGAUUAGAUACCCCUGUAGUC
rnacentral:rRNA from 1 species